CCUACGGGUGGCAGCAGUGGGGAAUAUUGCACAAUGGGGGAAACCCUGAUGCAGCGACGCCGCGUGAGUGAAGGAGCGUCUCGGCGCGUAAAGCCCUAUCGGCAGGGAAGAAGGAGGACGGUACCUGACUAGGAAGCCCCGGCUAACUACGUGCCAGCAGCCGCGGUAAUACGUAGGGGGCAAGCGUUAUCCGGAUUUACUGGGUGUAAAGGGGGCGCAGAGGGCAGCGCAAGCCAGGAGUGAAAGCCCGGGGCCCAACCCCGGGACUGCUGUUGGAACUGCGCGGCUGGGGUGCAGAGGGGGCAGGCGGAAUUCCGGGUGUAGCGGUGAA
rnacentral:rRNA from 1 species